rnacentral:rRNA from 1 species
GAUGAACGCUGGCGGCGUGCCUAAUACAUGCAAGUCGAGCGAACAGACGAGGAGCUUGCUCCUCUGACGUUAGCGGCGGACGGGUGAGUAACACGUGGAUAACCUACCUAUAAGACUGGGAUAACUUCGGGAAACCGGAGCUAAUACCGGAUAAUAUAUUGAACCGCAUGGUUCAAUAGUGAAAGACGGUUUUGCUGUCACUUAUAGAUGGAUCCGCGCCGCAUUAGCUAGUUGGUAAGGUAACGGCUUACCAAGGCAACGAUGCGUAGCCGACCUGAGAGGGGGAUCGGCCACACUGGAACGGAGACGCGGUCCAGGCUCCUACGGGAGGGAGCAGUAGGGAAUCUUCCGCAACGGGCGAAAGCCUGACGGAGCAACGCCGCGUGAGUGAUGAAGGUCUUCGGAUCGUAAAACUCUGUUAUUAGGGAAGAACAAAUGUGGAAGUAACUAUGCACGUCUUGACGGUACCUAAUCAGAAAGCCACGGCUAACUACGUG